AAGUAACUUACGUGAUUUACAGCUUAAUUCUUUGUUCCCAAAUUGGUAGCAAUGCAAGGUCUCUCCAUUUUCCCCAUGAGUGUGUCUGUGUUUUGCAGUCUUCUACUGCCAAGGAGUUCGAUGGUGGUGGAAUGUGGAAUGACGCUUCCCUGGCCCUCUGUGUCAUCUGCGUACACUGGGCACUUGCUGAGCUGUCCUAGUUGCUGUCUGGUCCUGGGGAGCUGGCCUGCACAGCUGUUGCUGAGACCUGUCUCAUCAAAUCCAGUGACUUUAUUCCUUCCCUACUAUACUCAGAUUGAUGGAAUCAUUUCACUGAUCUGUUCCAUGCUGAGGUGCAAGAAGUUCUGUGUGACUCUACCAGGCUCGGUCUUAGACAUGCGAUUUAGCAGUUCUGUGAGGGCUUCCUGAUUCCUCUUGUUUUCUAUGCAGGAAAUGGUGCACAUGUCCUAUACAUCUCGUCGUUUUGAGCUUUCCCCAUGAGAUUUCCACCUAAAUCUUUAUACCAUGGAUUGUUUUUGUUUCCUACAAAACUGAAUGUUUAAAGCUCAUAGGCAACAAACAGCUCUGUUAUUCCUCAUAUUCUUUUGUAGCUUCUGUUCUCUGAGGAAAUGAUGUGUCUCUUAAGACAGCUUAAAACAGGGAGAAAGAGGCAAGAAAUAUGUGGGGGUAAAAAAUCAAUGAUUAUGUCAAAGAUACUCCCUACCAAACUUCUUAAUAUCCUAUGGAAAAUGCUGAUCUAAAGAACAGAGGGUUAACAACACAUGAAGAAGAGUAGGUGUGUGAUAGGAAUGCUGUCUCAAGUUUUGAGUAUCAUGUGUGGUUGAUGACAGUCAUAGCCCUUAGGAAGUGAUGAGUAACUCACUGUCUUUGUGGUCCUUUGUGCAGUCCUCCCCUACGUGGACUCACGAAAAGCGUCUUGCUGUUGGGAAGUCUUCCUCCACCCUAUGAGGAAGGCCGGGCUAGCCUGCUGAAGAGAUGGGGAUCCACCUAGAGCCAGCGCCAAGCAACAGACACCUUCAGAAUCAAAU